rnacentral:rRNA from 1 species
AUGCGGAAGAAGGAAUGCGAUACUUUUUUGUCGUGCAAAAAUACAACCGAUCGAAGCAGUUGGAACGUCGUCCGAUGGUUCCAAGAGUCACGGCAAUCAGACGCCUGUGGGAGUAAUAUACCAGAAUUUGCUCAUUUUCAGGUUUUUUGUUAUUGUGUAUCCAUGGUAUUAAUUAGACCUAGCCAUUGGACGCAAUAUAUGGGUACCGUGGAGACAUUGUAUGUUCAACGUGACUCUGUGCACAUGGUCAUGGUAUGGCACGUUCCACUAGAUGAGGUAUCAGUCACGGCUCCUCCUAUUGAUUUUUUGUCGAAAAGGACCGGUUGCCGAACACAUUUGACAGAAAGGACUACCUGCAGAUAUAAAUGA